CCCGCUCGGCUCGCGCGGCUGCCGGCCACCUGGGCCUUGACCCUACGCUUCUCAGGCUUCGGUGGGCCCUGGCCCGUGGUCCGAGUCAUCACCCGUCCCUCCAGUUCUCACCUCCGGCUGCAGUCUUCUGCUGUCCGGGCCGGUCCCCGACUUCCAUCUCUCCACCCUUAACCGGCUGCCCCAGUAUCGGUUACCCGGCCCGCUGUUCUCUGCCCUGCCCUGCUCCGCCAAGGGUCCCUGUCUCUGAGCCUCAGCCCCAUGGCGCUGCAGGCGCUGCAGAGCUCGGGGGUGGCCUUCCGCAAGAUCCUGUCUCAUUUCCCCGAGGAGCUGAGCCUGGCUUUCGCCUACGGCUCCGGGGUGUACCGCCAGGUGGGGCCCAGUUCAGACCAGAAGCUUAUCAAAUAUGGGGUCAUUAGCACUAACAUUUUGAUUGAAGAUCUCCUCAACUGGAAUAACUUAUAUGUUGCUGGACGACUCCAGAAACCGGUGAAAAUCAUAGCAAUGAAUGAGAAUGUUGCUCUUAGGUCAGCCCUCGAUAAAAAUCUGAAGAGUGCUGUGACCACAGCUUUCCUCAUGCUCCCCGAAAGCUUUUCUGAAGAAGACCUCUUUAUAGAGAUCGCCGGACUGUCUUAUUCAGGCGACUUUCGGAUGGUGGUUGGAGAGGAUAAGACAAAAGUGCUGAAUAUUGUGAAGCCCAACAUAGCCCACUUUCGUGAGCUCUAUGGCAACAUACUGCAGGAGAAUCCCCAAGUGGUGUAUAAGAUCCAGCAAGGCAGACUGGAGAUAGAUAAAAGCCCAGAAGGACAAUUCACUCAGCUAAUGACAUUGCCCAAAACCUUACAGCAACAAAUAAAUCAUAUUAUGGACCCUCCUGGAAAAAACAGAGAUGUGGAAGAAACUUUAUUGCAAGUUGCUCAUGAUCCUGACUGUGGAGAAGUGGUACGACUAGGGCUUUCAGCAAUUGUGAGACCUUCUAGUAUGAAACAGAGCACCAAAGGCAUUUUCACUGCUGGUGUGAAGAAAUCAGUGGUUUAUAGUUCACUAAAGCUACACAAAAUGUGGAAAGGAUGGCUAAGGAAAACAUCUUGAUUUGGCUUGCUUUUAUACGUGUUGUGUGUAGAUUAAUAAAGUGAUCCUUUUUGACAGAACAGUAUUUGUUACCUUGACCCACUGCUUGAAUUUGAAGAUACCUAGAGGUCCACUGGGCAGCGCUGUCACGCACGUUUCCUAACAGUCUGGAUGCUGGUUUCUCUCUGCAGUGGGAAGAAGUUUCUCUCAUUUGAUGGCUGAUGCUGCUACGUAAUUUUGUUUGUCGGAUUCUUAGCUUCCUCGCAGAUGGGAAAGAAGAAAGACGUGGCUGUGUCAAGGGUGUGUGAAAGGAGGAGGUCGUGAUGUCCUGCAAAGAAAGCAAGUGGGCAGAGAUCCCACACUCAAAAUGGUUACUAUUCGAGCAGUCUUCAUAGCCACAAGAGCUCUCUGAGCGCGUGUUCCAGGGAAUUAUCUAAUUCAGUCCUCACAAAGUACAGCAAGAUGUUCAUUUCUCUCAUCUUACAGGAGGGAGAAACCCAUCCCUCCAAACGCUGCCUGGCCCUGGGGGAUUGGAGGUGUUGACCUUGUCCCUUGGCCAGUUGCAUGUCUUUUAUAUUGAAAAACUGAUUGGAACGAAAUGAGUUGGGUUCCGAUCUAGAUCUUAAUUCAAGGACCAGGAUGGAACUUUUUAAUCAGAUGUGUUUACACGGUGAUUUAAAUACUUACUUCGACCUGAUUUGAUCCCUGGCAUGGAAGAUUCCAUUUAAGGUUUUCUUCUGACAGAAGAAAAAGCAUCCCCACUUUCCAUUUCCCAAAUAUUUCCACAUAGUAUCAACUUAUUGAAAGGAAAUACAUAUUCUUUCUAUGCUUAUGGCUCUGAGAAGCUUAAUUAUUAACUCAGAAAGUGACCGUGUUGCUUAAAGGGAAAGAUGUGGCCUCUGGGCGUAAUCAGACCUGGGUUCAAAUCCAAACCCUACUGUUUAUGGGUUUUAUCUUCAGCCCUCAUUUAUCUUCCAAGAAGUUGGGUUUCCUCUUCUGGCAAAUAGGGAUAAUCACUAUCUUGCAACAGUUGCAACAGCGUGAGGCUCAGAUUAACUAACUAUGGUAGCAUUUU